GACGAACGCUGGCGGCGUGCUUAACACAUGCAAGUCGAACGGAAAGGCCCUGCUUUUGUGGGGUGCUCGAGUGGCGAACGGGUGAGUAACACGUGAGUAACCUGCCCUUGACUUUGGGAUAACUUCAGGAAACUGGGGCUAAUACCGGAUAGGAUCUCCUGCUGCAUGGUGGGGGUUGGAAAGUUUCGGCGGUUGGGGUUGGACUCGCGGCUUAUCAGCUUGUUGGUGGGGUAGGGGCUUACCAAGGCUUUGACGGGUAGCCGGCCUGAGAGGGUGACCGGCGACAUUGGGACUGAGAUACGGCCCAGACUCCUACGGGAGGCAGCAGUGGGGAAUAUUGCACAAUGGGCGGACGUCUGAUGCAGCAACGCCGCGUGCGGGAUGACGGCCUUCGGGUUGUAAACCGCUUUCGCCUGUGACGAAGCGUGAGUGACGGUAAUGGGUAAAGAAGCACCGGCUAACUACGUG
rnacentral:rRNA from 1 species